GGCACGGAGAUCAUCCUCACCUGGGGGAUGCUCCAGAGCUGGAGGAGCUCCAGGCGGCUGACAGCCACGUGCCAGAGACACCUCAACACGGAUGCUUGUGACGAUGCCAGGAGGCAGCAGGGACCGACAGUGCCAAUCCUGCAGGUUUUGGGUGCAGAGAAAUGGCAUCGCUCGUCCAAGACGGGGAUAUGAAAGCACCUUCUGUCUGCACAGCCAAUUUGGCUGCCUGUGUUCCCCCCAGGGCUCUGCUCACCGGCUGUCUCCACGGCAUGCAUAUGAGCUCCCUCCUGUCUCUGCUCUGGAGCAAACCAACUGGUUUCUCCCAAGAAGAAACCUCGGCACGACUGACAGGCUGCUUUUUCCAGGGUUGCCCAGACAGAAAAACCUGUCAUGAGCUGGACCAGGCUCUACCUUGGACAGUCCUCCAAACAUCUCAGGAGACCUCAUGCCCACUGACCUUCACGCCACGAUGCAGAACACACGACACCUUCGUGUCCUUCUGUGGACGUGCAGUUCUGGCAGUGCCUUUCAUUAUCUGGAGAAUUUCAAACUAGCACAAAAAAAAGAAGUCCAGGAUGUGAUCAUUAUUGACCCAGGUUCUGUGGAGCUCUGCAGGGAGCUCAGGAAAGACCUUUGCCAAGCGUGACCAUGGCUUGUGCCCUUCAGAGAGUGCUUGGUGGGGUGGACGCGAGCCAGUCCGUAGCAAUGAGCCUACACGUUAAUGUGACCUCCGAGGCAUUUUCCACCGCGACAACAUGUACAGAAGCUUUGCCAGGUAGCCAACACUCACUGUUCUCUUCUCUUCUCCCUAGGACUAUUUCUGGGCUUUGCAAACCUCUGCUUCCCUGUGGCUCAGUGCUCCGGCAGCAAGGUGGCGGGGACCCUCCUGAGUGGCAGAGAUGGUGGGAAAAGCAGCAAUGGCCACAUGGAGGCAAAACAGGCAAAACCUGUGUUGGUGUUGUGCCCUGCCAGGAGAGCCAGGGCCCACCACGUCCUGCGUGCGUGAGGGUCUGUGCUUCACGGCUAAAAGGCGGCUCCAAAGCUUUCAUGCUGCUCGUCACGGGGGUGCUGCUGGAGCAUCCAAAACGUGUUUGCAAUGCAGCCUGCCUUCCCUCACCGGCAAUAAAAGCCCUCAUAAAAACGUUCCAGUAUGUCUCUGCAAAGUGAGUACGUGAACAUGGGUUUGUAAGAGCAGAGCGAGAACUGGCUGAGGAGGAACCUGGCAGACACCGGACGAACAACGCAUACAGGAACCUCAAGGCACAGCCAUCAGGUCAGCCGGCUUUAUUUUAACCUGCCAUAAUGUUUAAAAGUGACGUGUUAUUUUUGUAACCUUGAUUUGGGGAUUUCUCACCUGAGACUUUUAUACGAGACCACUGCUCUGAAAACACUUGUUCACCUCCUGAUAAAAAAAAAUAAAAUUUUUAAAAAAGAGAAUCAGCCCCCCAAAAUGUUUCAGUCUAAGCACCCAAAACUAAUGGUCAGUCUUGAAAAUUUGGGGCGUGGAAACGAUCAGGGAUGGGCAAUAAAACACUCCACUUCUUGUGCAAGUGCGUGUUCCCAUGGGGCCCAACCAGGUGCCUGCGGGGGCCGAUUUCCCAAGCAGGGCAAGAUUUUUCUGAGCAGUCCAGGCACAUCUCGUUACAUCCAGCAAGAGAGCUUGAAAUGGGUGCAAAUUUGCUUGGAUCACUUUGCUUAUCCAGCUGUUGCCUUGGGGUGGGUGUCCCGCUGCAAGGAGUCAUGUAAAUGUGUAGAGCCAAGUGCUGGGACCUGAACUCACUCAGACAACACAACCUGGGACAGAUGGGAAAGAUUUUAUGCCUUGGUGAGUACAAACUCCAGGCUGGCUGGGGUGAUAUCAGUGGAUCCACCAGCACGACCUCCAGAACUAGACUCCCCAUGGUUUCUUGGUCAUUCUUAUCCUUCUCCAGCAUCUCCAGUAACAACACAUCAGCAGCUCCCUUGGUUGUCUGAGCAGAAAUCUCCCCUGCGCAGGCUGUUAUUAAAUUCUCUUAUGUCUUCAUUAGAUAUCAGAUGUGAUGAAAGAAGGUGACAUCUCCAGGGAAAUAUUGUAUGGGGUGUGGGGACGGGCUGUUAAUGUACUGGGGGAGACAGAGUGUCUGCAAAUGUAAUGAUCUUCUAAUGCCCUGAUGUAAGUACCGAGAUCCAGAUCUUUCUUUUUUCUUUUCUUUUCUUUUUUUUUUUUCUCCAAAAAGCAAAAUGUACUUGAGGGGUGUAUAGCAAAAGGCACUUAUCUCUUUCCUCUUGCCCAACUCUGUUUUCUCUCUGCCUACUUGUCCCCCCUUUUUUAAGGAUGUUUUUGGUGUCUUUGCUUUUUAUUAUUUUGCCAUUCUUCAAUCUUCAUCCUUUAUGUCUUAGCUGUUGGCACGACUGAUGAGUUCUGCUUUCUCCGUGACAGCUUUGUUUCAAAGAAAAAUGGCAAAAUCACUGCAUAAUCAGCAUGUGAUUUUUUUUUUUUUUGAUUAAAAAAGGAGAGAAGAAGAUGGAUGCAGACUGUGGGGGCAAUCCCUGCUGCUUUGCUUCUGCACAUUGGAGUUUGCAAAGAGGAUGAGAAGGGAGGUAGAUGGGAACUGCUGCCACUGGGCUGGGCUCAGAGCUCCCCGGUACCUUCCCGUGCAGAACAGGUAAUUUACAUAUCCUGCUAUUUUCAUCAGCAGCUCUAAGCCUCUUGAGGACAGUCCUUGGCAUGUCCCAUUCCUGCAGCAACACCAGAGCUGCCCUGACCUGGUGCUGGUGCCAGCCCUGCUUUGAGGCCACGAGCUGGACCAGAGGUCCCCAGAGGUCACUUGCAACCACCUUUUCUGUGAUUUUGUGAGCCAGCGCUGUGAAAGACUUCUUUUAUCUCACCCAGCA